rnacentral:rRNA from 1 species
CCUACGGGAGGCAGCAGUAGGGAAUCUUCCACAAUGGACGAAAGUCUGAUGGAGCAACGCCGCGUGAGCGAUGAAGGCCUUCGGGUCGUAAAGCUCUGUUGUUAGGGAAGAACAAGUACCGGAGUAACUGCCGGUACCUUGACGGUACCUAACCAGAAAGCCACGGCUAACUACGUGCCAGCAGCCGCGGUAAUACGUAGGUGGCAAGCGUUGUCCGGAAUUAUUGGGCGUAAAGCGCGCGCAGGCGGUCCUUUAAGUCUGAUGUGAAAGCCCACGGCUCAACCGUGGAGGGUCAUUGGAAACUGGGGGACUUGAGUGCAGAAGAGGAAAGCGGAAUUCCACGUGUAGCGGUGAAAUGCGUAGAGAUGUGGAGGAACACCAGUGGCGAAGGCGGCUUUCUGGUCUGUAACUGACGCUGAGGCGCGAAAGCGUGGGGAGCAAACAGGAUUAGAUACCCUGGUAGUCCACGCCGUAAACGAUGAGUGCUAAGUGUUAGGGGGUUUCCGCCCCUUAGUGCUGCAGCUAACGCAUUAAGCACUCCGCCUGGGGAGUACGGCCGCAAGGCUGAAACUCAAAGGAAUUGACGG